GUCUACGGCCAUACCACCCUGAACGCGCCCGAUCUCGUCUGAUCUCGGAAGCUAAGCAGGGUCGGGCCUGGUUAGUACUUGGAUGGGAGAAUGUGUAUUUAAUAAGCUCCCCAGGAGUUUCACAUG
rnacentral:rRNA from 1 species